rnacentral:lncRNA from 1 species
UGCUGCGAAUAUAAUGUGACAUUUUAACUUUUUUGGAAUUAGCUUUCAGUUCAUGAUUUUUCUAUCAUUCCUAAAUGACACAUUCAGUCUCAUGUUCUUAGAAAUGACCUGUUAGAAUACAGCAGUCUCAUUCAAAAUAUAUUUAAAAGUCUGGCUUUCCUGUUAAUAAAAUAGCUUGUACUUUCUGUAAGUCUAUUUUUUUUCUUGUUUCCGCUUGUAGUUUUACAAAUCAAAUUUGGAAAGAUCCAUAAAAGGAUAUACAUCCUCAGUUAAAAAACAAAUCACUUGUUCCCAGGAAGCAGCUCUUUUGUUUCAAAAUUUCAGAGCUGAUUUCAGGCAACUGGCAGAGGGGGCGGCCUUAGGGUUGGGCCCUGUGCAGUGUGCAAAAAUAUUCUUAGGGAAGCUGAAGUCCCUAAGAAGUGGUUUCUAAAAAUGUUCACUUGAAAACACUGCUUCCUGCGGCAAAANNNNNNNNNNNNCCUAAGAAGUGGUUUCUAAAAAUGUUCACUUGAAAACACUGCUUCCUCUGCGGCAAUAGAACACCGUGUUGACAACAAAUUCCGGUGAUGUCUCUGCAGAGCUGGCCCUGCACGCAGUCCCACGUGAUGUCUUUUUGCAUCUCCUCAGACCCCUCCUGAGCCCAUCCGGUGGGCAGAACCUAGCCAAGGUCUCCGGGACAGGAGCUGACUCCCACUUGCUCCCAACACCUCGGAUGCCCCAUGCCUAAGGGCACAGCAACCCAAGAAGGGAGGAACACACAAUUCAUGAGGCCUCCAAGGGCUGUGGUCAACUCCACUGACAAGCACCGCCCAGGAAGAUGUGAGCGUAUGACUCCUGGACGUGGAAAGAGUGUUGGCCCAGCCUGGAACUUGGCUCCAGGAUGUCUAAGCAGCCGUGAGUGUUUCCUGAAUCCCUCCCUCCGAUUGCGAGUGGCCC